AUGGCCACAGCUGAACCAGAAUCAGACGUGGUAGCCAGAGGGCCAGCUCUUGGUGUACUCGCCGCUGUCGGUUGCCUCCUCGCCGCCGUCUUCGCUGAGCCGAAGAGCGAAGGCGAGCGCGAGCGAGGCCCACUCGAGCACGAAGAUGGCGGUGCCAAGACCGCCAACGAGCCUGAGGAUGACCGUGCCGUCCUCUUCCCGGACAUACGACCGCAGCUCGGUGAGGAAGUCAGCCGUGCGGGUGAAUGCGAGCACGGCUGCAGCGCCCUGGAAGAUGGCAGUGAGGACGGCACCGGCGGUGUGCGCAGUAUGCUGGGCUCCGGCGCCAGCUGCGGGGGUAGUGAAGGAGCCCGAGCAGCCAGCCGCGGCAAAGACCGCGGUGAGCGCGUGGAGGAAGACGAGGAGCAGGCCGCACGGGGAUGGGACGAGGCGGAGCGAGAGUGUGAGGAAGAUGCAGCCCGACGCCGCGCCCAGAAGCAAGUAGUUGCAGAGCAGGAACGCCCUGUGCGCUGCUACUUGCCCACCAGCCAUUGGUGCUGCUGUCUGCCGACACCGCAAGCUGAUUUAUUCUUGAUCACUCCCGAGCAAACUGAAGCAAGGAGACUGUGA
rnacentral:rRNA from 1 species